UUAGUAUGUCCGAGUCUAUCCCGGCAGGAAACUUUUGGCACGAAUUUCAAACAGUGAAAAGGAGAAAAAAAAUUAGGUCGGUCAGGUUAGGUGUCGGCGAUAAGAAAAGAGAUUGCGGGAGCAUCCCCAGCCUUCUUCUUUCCCCUUUUGCCGCCCCCACACACUCCCCCCACGCGUCUAUCACGGAAGCAACACAGAGGAGCGCACACGCACCACUCACACCUCCAACUAUUGACUGUUGUAUCAGGUGUUCUAACCGGGAUGUGACAGUUGAGGCUGGGAGCAGAAAUAAUCAACAUGCCCAUUAGAUACAGGACGGAAUAAUGCUUCUAUUGGUUGGGUCCCUUCGAGGUAAGCGGGUGUAUUGAGCGGGGAAACUUGGGAUCUGAGAAUGGAUCAAAGCUACUUUCUUUCUUAUUUUUCGUCCUACUAGUUUUCUUUAAGAAUCUUGGUUUGUACAUAUAAGUUAGCGCCAGCCCACAAAUAAACUGGUAGGAGUAAGGGCUAUAUACCUUUCCACACCUUAAAACCAUCUGCUCAGUUUGACAUUUAAAAGGGCGGAGAGCAGAGAAGGAGGAGGGGGGAGUAGGGGGAAGAAAGGAGUCAGGGACAGAGAAAAAGAUUCAAACGCGAAAAAAAUGGCUUGCACUUUAGCCCACAAGUUUGUGUCAAUUGCACAUAGCGCUUGAAUGCACGUUUUGCACACACCACGCCCGGGAACUGGCGGCGGGAAAAGUUCCCUGAGAACCCCAGUAAGUCCUGUGUCACGCCGUGGGCAAAAGCAGGCCUGAGUCGAAGUCGGGGUAACCCGCUUGCCGAACAAGGAAGCUCUCCCACCCCCAGCCUCGGCGGCAGAGGCUCCCGGCUCGCGACGCUCUGCCGCGGCGGUUCGCAGCCCGCAUUAGGGCGCAGGAGCGGCGACUUGAAAUAGGAGCGCGCGCCACGCUAGGCGAGCGAGAUCGGUUCGCAGCCCAGCUCCGUGAGCUGCCUCGGCGCAGCCCUGUCCCGUGUCCUGUCCUCUACUGUCGGGGAGGCGUACAGGCCAGGCUCCUGGCAACCUCUCUUGCUAGAGCUGCGGCAUUCUCCUGGGUCUCGGGCUGCCCUGGACAAGACUUGAGGCCCGAGCCCCCUAUCUCGGGCGACUCCCGCUUUGUUUUCUGAUAGGGGAGAAGCCUGGAGACAAGGAGUCGCCUAGAUAUUGGCUCCAUCUCUGAAACCAGCCGCCAAGCCUAGGGUUAAGACAACUCCUCCCUCCGCCCCACUUCCAACACAACCCCAGUAACUUAGAAGUUAACGCAAGUUCUGACCGGUCUUGUAACACACUCUAUCCGUGCAGGUUGCAUUUACUUAUUUAUCUGAAGGGUGAUCUGUGUGUUCUUAGACAAACUCGCAGUUAUCACCCAUGCAUCUGGUUCUGGGUUAAAUACACUUCGCCUUGACAUUUGCUCGGUGUAUGCUCACGCCUCCUGUUCUUUCUUAAAGCUGUUAGGUGGGGGCAGGAGGGAAGACAGUGUGUAUAAGUAAUUUAAAACCUUACAAACAACUGUUAUCAGAUCCUAAACAAACCAAUUCUGAGAAUUACAACCAGAUUCAGUUGAGAGGCAAAAGUGGACGUGGAUUUUGGAAAAGGGUGCCUAAGGACUUCCAGGUCAGCCACCCACCGCUACCACCACCACCACCGCCACCACUACCACCAUCACUAUCAGCACCCUGAAGAAGGGAAGAGAGGAAAACCAACCCCAGGGUGCAGGCCUGCCUGCUGCAAGCUUUCUAGAGGCAAAACUGACUGACGGCCUCUCACUCUCAUCUCCUGUGCUCAGUGUGACGCCAAGCCCAACCUGGAUUUGUUCUGAAUGGGGGGGAAGUGAAAUGCCACAAGAUCAGUAGCAAGUAGCAGCUGCAGCGUUUUCUCUCCUGGGAACCCCACUGCUUAGAAGCCUCCUGAGUGAUGUUUGUUUAACCAACAGCUUUCAAAGUAAACAGAAGCCAAUCACUCCAAAGAAGUUGAAAUAUAACCCUUACAAGAAUUUGGAUCCAGGGGUGCUGGCAGAAAGAAAGUAAUUUUUAAAAUGAUAAAGAACCCACUCCCAAAUAAGAGUCUGCCACAUUGCUUUAAGGAGCGCAGAAUUGUCAUGAAAAUAUAAUUUCAUCGAAAGGGCUAAUUACAAUAAGUUGACCUCGAAGAAAAUCACUCUUCGCCCACAAAGACACACCCGCGGGGAUGAGGAGGUUGUCAGUGAUUGAAGGGACACACUACUACUUGAUUUUAUGGAAGUGGGCGAAAACAAUCAAAGGGAAGUACAUUCCCUGCCCUGGAGUAGUGAAGUGUAGGCUGGGAGCUCUUCGCCGCCAACCCUGGCUUUGCCUCAGGCACCGAACUUUCCAAUACCAAGAUAUUAACAGAUGGUGGUGAGCACAUGGAGGGCUGCUACUUACAUAAUCUAGCCACUCCGCCCGGCUGCCCAGAGCCCGGCGAGGAACCGGCCAGGCCGCGCGCGCGCCUUCCGAGGGGUGCUCCCUGACAUAACUUGCCUUUCUCCAACCCCACCCAUCGUUUUGAGGGUUAGCAUUUGGAGAGGCCGUGAUUUAAAAAAACCAAACAAAAACAAAAACACCCAAAACAUUGA
ensembl:lncRNA novel transcript, antisense to PROX1